rnacentral:rRNA from 2 species
CUUGGUGCUUUUGGCGGAGUGGGUACACCCGUUCCCAUCCCGAACACGGAAGUUAAGCACUCCAGCGCCGAUGGUAGUGGGGCUUGUUCCCCGUGAGAGUAGGCCAGCGCCAAGA